GAUGAACGCUGGCGGCGUGCCUAAUACAUGCAAGUCGAGCGGACGGACGAGGAUCUUGCUUUGCUGAUGUUAGCGGCGGGCGGGUGAGUAACACGUGUAUAACCUACCUAUAAGACUGGGAUAACUUCGGGAAACCGGAUCUAAUACCCGAUAAUAUUUUGAACCACAGGGUUCAAAAGUGAAAGACGGUCUUGCUGUCACUUAUAGAUGGAUCCGCGCUGCAUUAGCUAGUUGGUAAGGUAACGGCUUACCAAGGCGACGAUGCGUAGCCGAACUGAGAGGGUGAUAGGCCACACUGGAACUGAGACACGGUCCAGACUCCUACGGGAGGCAGCAGUAGGGAAUAUUACGCAAUGGGCGAAAGCCUGACGCAGCAACGCCGCGUGUGUGAAGAAGGUCUUCGGAUCGUAAAACUCUGUUAUUAGGGAAGAACAUAUGUGUAUGUAAACGUGCCCAUAUUGACGGUACCUAAUAAGAAAGCACCGGCUAACUACGUG
rnacentral:rRNA from 1 species